AGUAGGGUGGGAUGGGGAGGGAGGUGGGAGGGAGGCUCCAGAGGGAUUGGAUGUGUGUAUAUCUAUAGCUGAUCCAUUUUGAUGUAUGGCAGAAACCAACACAAUAUUGUAAUUAUCCUUCAAUUAAAAAUAAAAAAAAUUGAGUUCCUCAGUCAUGCUGGCUACAUUUUCAAGUGUCUGUAUUGGGCAGCAUAGAUAUAGAACAUUUCAUGAUUGCAGAAAGUUCCAUUCUACAAUGUUCAGGUAGGGCUGAAACCUGGGAUUUCCUGAAGAGCACCUGGCGUUCCGUAAGUUGCCUUGGCUUACGUGUGAGUGGUUAUCCCUAGUUGCUGCUGACUUGGCUUCUCUCACCUGCAACAGCCUGACACAGGCUACCUCAGACUAUGUGGUUUUCCCAGAGUCUUUCUUCCCAAAAGUAUUUCAGUGCUGCAAUCAAGAGAAUGUGAGGGGGCCUUUAAGAAGGCUGAUCUAAGCAAAACCUUGGCUAGAAGCUUUCUGUAGCCAUAACCAUCAUAGUCUAGAUGCCUGUAAAUUAUGUCCCUUUAAGAAUGAUAAGCUACAGACAAGUGCGAAAGUAAAUCCUCUUUUGCAACCCACAACUCAUUGUUCAGUAUGAGUUUUGAUACAGAUAAGAAGGAACAUGAUCCAUAAAAUGGAUGUGUAUUGAUGAGCAUAAAGAUUGCUUCCAGGGCUGUAAAGCUAAAUAAGCUUCUAAAUUACCAGGUAUAUUGAUCCUAGUACUCAGUUUUAAUGUUGACAUAAAACAAACAAAGAUGGCCUUCUUUUUUUAGGCUUUUAUCUUCGGAAUACAGUGUCUGGAUUUUGCAAAGAUAUGUCUAAUGCUUUAGGAAUUAAUAUGAUUUGAACUUGGUAAGUUUUUGAACUAGACAGAUCCCAUCUCCUGACCCUAAACAGGAUCCUAUAGUAAACUUCUUGAGGAUAUUGGAUCUUGAAGAUUACAGGUGGCAAACUUUGAAGUGAACUCCACUGAAGAUCUAAGAGGCCCAACUAAAACUGUGGCAUCACAGCUGUGGAUUGAGCAGAACUUUUUGAAAGGGCUACCUUGAAGAUGACAACCUUGGAGGAGCUAUGGUGAUUGGCAGUGGAAAGAAUCAGGACGUGUGAAAAAUCCUUAAAAAUUUAUUGA